AGAGAAAUAUCCUUGUGAGAAGGAGAACAAAUAAGAUUUGUUUGGGGAAGGUUCAAAUCCUUCCCAUUCUU
rnacentral:tRNA from 1 species